CAGACUUACUGCAAUAUUCACCACCUUCUGGCAGCGGUUGAAGGCUCAUUUACAGUCCCUGGUGCACACUGAUAGCCAACAGGCCAAACAACUCACCACGAGGCAUCCAGAAGUGAAAAGCAAGAGCUCCUCCAAAACUUACACCCGCGAAAGCUGAGCUCCAGCAGGGUGCCCUCCCAAGACUACACCCACGAUACGAGGUGAAGAGCAGCAAACCGAGGCCUGGGCUCCAGGAGAAACCGAAAAAUACACCCCAACGGCGCCCUCAUUGGAGACUUAAGCCACAGAAAGGAAAGACAAGCUUCACCAGACAGGCAAUCCUGAGAGGUGUAAGACCCGAGGAGGUGACCACAAUAAGACGGCGCAAACAGCGCUGCCCCAGCC